rnacentral:rRNA from 1 species
AUGGUUAAGUGACUAAGCGUACACGGUGGAUGCCUUGGCAGUCAGAGGCGAUGAAAGGCGUAAUAACUUGCGAUAAGCCCAGAUUAGGUAGUAAUAACCUUUUGAGUCUGGGAUUCCUGAAUGGGGAAACCCACUUACAUAAGUAAGUAUCCUGUUGUGAAUACAUAGCAACAGGAGGCAAACCGGGGGAACUGAAACAUCUAAGUACCCCGAGGAAGAGAAAUCAACCGAGAUUCCGAAAGUAGCGGCGAGCGAAAUUGGAUUAGCCCUUAAGCUUUUAAUGAGACAGAUGAAGGCUCUGGAAAGUGCCGCAAUAAAGGGUGAUAGCCCCGUAAUCGACAUCUCAUCAUCAGUGAAAACGAGUAGGGCGGGACACGUGAUAUCCUGUCUGAAUAUGGGGGGACCAUCCUCCAAGGCUAAAUACUACUGACUGACCGAUAGUGAACCAGUACCGUGAGGGAAAGGCGAAAAGAACCCCUGUGAGGGGAGUGAAAUAGAACCUGAAACCGUGUACGUACAAGCAGUAGGAGCACCUUCGUGGUGUGACUGCGUACCUUUUGUAUAAUGGGUCAGCGACUUAAUUUUAGUAGCAAGGUUAACCGUUUAGGGGAGCCGUAGGGAAACCGAGUCUUAACUGGGCGUACAGUUGCUAGGAUUAGACCCGAAACCAGGUGAUCUAGCCAUGGGCAGGUUGAAGGUUGAGUAACAUCAACUGGAGGACCGAACCGACUAAUGUUGAAAAAUUAGCGGAUGACUUGUGGCUAGGGGUGAAAGGCCAAUCAAACCUGGAGAUAGCUGGUUCUCCCCGAAAGCUAUUUAGGUAGCGCCUCGGACGAAUACUACUGGGGGUAGAGCACUGUUAAGGCUAGGGGGUCAUCCCGACUUACCAACCCUUUGCAAACUCCGAAUACCAGUAAGUACUAUCCGGGAGACACACGGCGGGUGCUAACGUCCGUCGUGGAGAGGGAAACAACCCAGACCGCCAGCUAAGGUCCCAAAGUAUAGCUAAGUGGGAAACGAUGUGGGAAGGCUCAGACAGCCAGGAUGUUGGCUUAGAAGCAGCCAUCAUUUAAAGAAAGCGUAAUAGCUCACUGGUCGAGUCGGCCUGCGCGGAAGAUGUAACGGGGCUAAGCUAUACACCGAAGCUGCGGCUACGUACCUUAGGGUAUGUGGGGUAGGGGAGCGUUCUGUAAGCCGUUGAAGGUGGUCUGUAAGGGCUGCUGGAGGUAUCAGAAGUGCGAAUGCUGACAUGAGUAACGAUAAAGGGAGUGAAAAACUCCCUCGCCGGAAGACCAAGGGUUCCUGUCCAACGUUAAUCGGGGCAGGGUAAGUCGACUCCUAAGGCGAGGCCGAAAGGCGUAGUCGAUGGGAAAC